rnacentral:rRNA from 1 species
GUACACUACGGGGGGCAGCAGUGAGGAAUAUUGGUCAAUGGGCGAGAGCCUGAACCAGCCAAGUCGCGUGAGGGAGUACUGCCCUAUGGGUUGUAAACCUCUUUUGUCGGGGAACAAAGGCGCCCACGGGUGGGCGGAUGAGUGUACCCGAAGAAAAAGCAUCGGCUAACUCCGUGCCAGCAGCCGCGGUAAUACGGAGGAUGCGAGCGUUAUCCGGAUUUAUUGGGUUUAAAGGGUGCGUAGGCGGACAGUCAAGUCAGCGGUAAAAAUGCGGGGCUCAACGCCGUACAGCCGUUGAAACUGGG